AAUAAUAAUAAGAGUGAGUUAAUAAUUAACAAACUAAAUUAAACGUUUCAGGUCGUAGUAGGGUAAUAACUACCAAGCUUUUUAAGGUACUUAGUAUCUAGAACACCCAGACUGAACUGGACUGUAAUAUAGUAAUGUAUUACGUCAACUAGUGAAAUAGUCAUCUAUCUAUGUAUCAUUUGGAGAAUUUGAUGGAUUUUCCAGGCAUUUCUAUGUGUUCAAGAGGGCUUUUGUCGUUGAAUUUGGUGUUAUUAGAAAAAUUA